rnacentral:misc_RNA from 1 species
AGAGAGAGAUUUGGGACAAAAUCUAUAUAUAUCAUUCAUUCACAACUAUACAGGUGUAUAUAUAUAUAUGUUACAAAUAGGAAGUUGACUCCUAUUAUACUACUUAAACACAACAACAGAUAACUAUUAUACUUAGGAAGUGUAAUGCUAUUAAACUACUCAAAUAACAGAUAACCUAAGUAGAUAAGGGACAGUCUCAACAGUAAUUGUUGUUACAUUUUAAGAAACUCGUGAUAGGGUGCCAUGGGUUUUCCAACAGCAUAUGGAUAAGAUCCAAAAUCAAUUUAUUGAAUUUGCAAAAAGUCAAUGGGAUGAAGCUGUUGACAAAAAGGUGAUGGAAGAUCUGAAUAUUCCUAAAGAUGAAGAAUCCUAGAUUUUGCUAUGAGAUGAAUUUAGAGAACUUGAAUCCAGAUUAGUCAAAGCCAACUUUGUAAAAGGAUCUAAACAAGUCAAAGAAAGAGAAAUAAAAGACAUUCAAGUUCAAGAAAUUAGGAAACAAAUUGAAGAGCAAUUAGCUCUAAAGUAAUAACUUUUAUAACAUCACAUUGCAAACAG